rnacentral:misc_RNA from 1 species
UCGGCAGAAAGAAGAAUUUGAUCACCAUAUCAGACUUCAGGUGAUACUUUAGUGUUAAAAUUUUCAACUGUAGUGUUGAUAUCUACCAUUAACCUGACAUCUCUCAUGCUACUGUUAAGAAAAGGCACACAUAUUUCCAUGUUCUUUUUAUUAAUCAUAUAUUCGGGUUCUUAGACUGUCUCCAUUUAUUUACUGUUGACAUUGUUACCUUGCCUGUGAGUGAUUGUUAUGUAAUAUAUCCAGCAAAGUCUCUGAAAAAGACUUUUCAUUAUUUUUAUUAUUGUCUUUGGAAGAAUCAUUUCA